AUGGAUGAUGGCAGCGGCGGCCGCCAGCCGCGCCGUGCCGUGCGUGUGAUUCAAUUCAACUCGCCGUCGAAACGGACGCUUUGGUUCGCCGCCCACCGGAAGCCUCGGCGCCGGAACGGGACAAGCGGAGAGGUCCACCUCCUAGUCGGCUACACGGAAGAUAGUACAAAAAGAAAGAAAGAAAGAAUCGGGAUCCGGAUCCGGGGCCUCCAGAAGACCACAGAGGUAGCCCAGGGUUCCAGUACUGCUACUGUUUAUUAUCCUCCUGCUGCUGCUGCCGCUGCCGAUAGGGGAGGAUAA
rnacentral:rRNA from 1 species